rnacentral:rRNA from 1 species
CCAAUCGAACCCGGAGAUAGCUGGUUCUCCUCGAAAUAGCUUUAGGGCUAGCCUCAUACAAGUCUGCCGGAGGUAGAGCACUGAAUUUCCGCGGGGGCGUCAAAGCCUACCAAAGAAUAUCAAACUCCGAAUGCCGGACAGAUGGUGUAUGGGAGUCAGACUGUACGAGAUAAGUUGGACAGUCAAAAGGGAAAGAGCCCAGACCGCCGGCUAAGGUCCCAAAGUGGGUGUUAAGUGGAAAAGGAUGUGGGAUCUCUAAGACAACCAGGAUGUUGGCUCAGAAGCAGCCAUUCAUUAAAAGAGUGCGUAACAGCUCACUGGUCGAGAGGUCCUGCGCCGAAAAUGUCCGGGGCUGAAACACCACACCGAAGCCGCGGAACCCGUAAGGGUUGGUAGAGGAGCAUUCUUAGGGGAGCGAAGCAUUACCGGAAGGGGAUGUGGACCGCUAAGAAGAGAGAAUGCCGGAAUGAGUAGCGAGAGCAAGGUGGGAAUCCUUGCGGCCGAAUAUCCAAGGUUUCCAGAGUAAAGCUGAUCUGCUCUGGGUAAGUCGGGGCCUAAGGAGAGGCAGAGAUGCGUAUCCGAUGGACAGCAGGUUUAAGAUUCCUGCACCCCUUGUUAUCAGAACUGCGGGGACACGGGAAGGGAAGCAGAGCCGGGAAUGGAAAGCCCGGUGCAAGCGAAGUAGUCGCAGGGUUGGAAAAUCCGCCCUGCAUGAGACGAAGGCGUGAUGCGGAGCGAAAUGAAGUAGUGAAGCUGCGGCCCCUUCCUGUCGAGAAAAGCCGCUAUCGUGUAGCAAGGGCCCGUACCGUAAACCGACACAGGUGGAUGAGGAGAGAAUCCUAAGGCCGGCGGGAGAAGUGUUGUUAAGGAACUCGGCAAAAUGACUCCGUAACUUCGGGAGAAGGAGUGCUGCGCAAGCAGCCGCAGAGAAAUGGCCCAAGCAACUGUUUAGCAAAAACACAGGUCUAUGCGAAACCGAAAGGUGAGGUAUAUGGGCUGACGCCUGCCCGGUGCUGGAAGGUUAAGGGGAGAGGUUAGCGCAAGCGAAGCUUUGAACUUAAGCCCCAGUAAACGGCGGCCGUAACUAUAACGGUCCUAAGGUAGCGAAAUUCCUUGUCGGGUAAGUUCCGACCCGCACGAAAGGCGUAAUGAUUUGGGCACUGUCUCAACAACACACCCGGUGAAAUUGAAAUACCAGUGAAGAUGCUGGUUACCCGCGCCAGGACGGAAAGACCCCAUGGAGCUUUACUCCAGCCUGAUACUGGGAUUCGGUAUUGCAUGUACAGGAUAGGUGGGAGGCUGAGAACUCAUGGCGCCAGCCGUGAGGGAGCCGGUGUUGGGAUACCACCCCUGCAGUACUGGGUUUCUAACCUGCGCCCGUGACCCGGGCGGGGGACAAUGUCAGGCGGGGAGUUUGACUGGGGCGGUCGCCUCCGAAAGGGUAUCGGAGGCGCUCAAAGGUUCCCUCAGAAUGGUUGGAAACCAUUCGAAGAGUG